GGAAUAUUGCACAAUGGGGCAACCCUGAUGCAGCCAUGCCGCGUGUGUGAAGAAGGCCUUCGGGUUGUAAAGCACUUUCAGUGGGGAGGAAAGCGUGGUGGUUAAUACCCAUCAUGUGUGACGUUACACACAGAAGAAGGACCGGCUAACUACGUGCCAGCAGCCGCGGUAAUACGGAGGGUCCGAGCGUUAAUCGGAAUUACUGGGCGUAAAGCGCACGCAGGCGGUUUGUUAAGCGAGAUGUGAAAGCCCCGGGCUCAACCUGGGAAUUGCAUUUCGAACUGGCAGGCUAGAGUCUUGGAGAGGGGAGUGGAAUUCCAGGUGUAGCGGUGAAAUGCGUAGAUAUCUGGAGGAGCAUCAGUGGCGAAGGCGACUCCCUGGCCAAAGACUGACGCUCAUGUGCGAAAGUGUGGGUAGCGAAC
rnacentral:rRNA from 1 species